rnacentral:rRNA from 1 species
CCCCGUACACAAAAAUGCACAUAUUGUGAGCUCGAUGAGUAGGGCGGGACACGUGGUAUCCUGUCUGAAUAUGGGGGGACCAUCCUCCAAGGCUAAAUACUCCUGACUGACCGAUAGUGAACCAGUACCGUGAGGGAAAGGCGAAAAGAACCCCGGCGAGGGGAGUGAAAAAGAACCUGAAACCGUGUACGUACAAGCAGUGGGAGCCUCUUUAUGGGGUGACUGCGUACCUUUUGUAUAAUGGGUCAGCGACUUAUAUUCUGUAGCAAGGUUAACCGAAUAGGGGAGCCGAAGGGAAACCGAGUCUUAACUGGGCGUUAAGUUGCAGGGUAUAGACCCGAAACCCGGUGAUCUAGCCAUGGGCAGGUUGAAGGUUGGGUAACACUAACUGGAGGACCGAACCGACUAAUGUUGAAAAAUUAGCGGAUGACUUGUGGCUGGGGGUGAAAGGCCAAUCAAACCGGGAGAUAGCUGGUUCUCCCCGAAAGCUAUUUAGGUAGCGCCUCGUGAAUUCAUCUCCGGGGGUAGAGCACUGUUUCGGCAAGGGGGUCAUCCCGACUUACCAACCCGAUGCAAACUGCGAAUACCGGAGAAUGUUAUCACGGGAGACACACGGCGGGUGCUAACGUCCGUCGUGAAGAGGGAAACAACCCAGACCGCCAGCUAAGGUCCCAAAGUCAUGGUUAAGUGGGAAACGAUGUGGGAAGGCCCAGACAGCCAGGAUGUUGGCUUAGAAGCAGCCAUCAUUUAAAGAAAGCGUAAUAGCUCACUGGUCGAGUCGGCCUGCGCGGAAGAUGUAACGGGGCUAAACCAUGCACCGAAGCUGCGGCAGCGACACUAUGUGUUGUUGGGUAGGGGAGCGUUCUGUAAGCCUGUGAAGGUGGCCUGUGAGGGUUGCUGGAGGUAUCAGAAGUGCGAAUGCUGACAUAAGUAACGAUAAAGCGGGUGAAAAGCCCGCUCGCCGGAAGACCAAGGGUUCCUGUCCAACGUUAAUCGGGGCAGGGUGAGUCGACCCCUAAGGCGAGGCCGAAAGGCGUAGUCGAUGGGAAACAGGUUAAUAUUCCUGUACUUGGUGUUACUGCGAAGGGGGGACGGAGAAGGCUAUGUUGGCCGGGCGACGGUUGUCCCGGUUUAAGCGUGUAGGCUGGUUUUCCAGGCAAAUCCGGAAAACCAAGGCUGAGGCGUGAUGACGAGGCACUACGGUGCUGAAGCGACAAAUGCCCUGCUUCCAGGAAAAGCCUCUAAGCAUCAGGUAACAUCAAAUCGUACCCCAAACCGACACAGGUGGUCAGGUAGAGAAUACCAAGGCGCUUGAGAGAACUCGGGUGAAGGAACUAGGCAAAAUGGUGCCGUAACUUCGGGAGAAGGCACGCUGAUAUGUAGGUGAAGCGACUUGCUCGUGGAGCUGAAAUCAGUCGAAGAUACCAGCUGGCUGCAACUGUUUAUUAAAAACACAGCACUGUGCAAACACGAAAGUGGACGUAUACGGUGUGACGCCUGCCCGGUGCCGGAAGGUUAAUUGAUGGGGUUAGCGGUAACGCGAAGCUCUUGAUCGAAGCCCCGGUAAACGGCGGCCGUAACUAUAACGGUCCUAAGGUAGCGAAAUUCCUUGUCGGGUAAGUUCCGACCUGCACGAAUGGCGUAAUGAUGGCCAGGCUGUCUCCACCCGAGACUCAGUGAAAUUGAACUCGCUGUGAAGAUGCAGUGUACCCGCGGCAAGACGGAAAGACCCCGUGAACCUUUACUAUAGCUUGACACUGAACAUUGAGCCUUGAUGUGUAGGAUAGGUGGGAGGCUUUGAAGUGUGGACGCCAGUCUGCAUGGAGCCGACCUUGAAAUACCACCCUUUAAUGUUUGAUGUUCUAACGUUGGCCCGUAAUCCGGGUUGCGGACAGUGUCUGGUGGGUAGUUUGACUGGGGCGGUCUCCUCCUAAAGAGUAACGGAGGAGCACGAAGGUUGGCUAAUCCUGGUCGGACAUCAGGAGGUUAGUGCAAUGGCAUAAGCCAGCUUGACUGCGAGCGUGACGGCGCGAGCAGGUGCGAAAGCAGGUCAUAGUGAUCCGGUGGUUCUGAAUGGAAGGGCCAUCGCUCAACGGAUAAAAGGUACUCCGGGGAUAACAGGCUGAUACCGCCCAAGAGUUCAUAUCGACGGCGGUGUUUGGCACCUCGAUGUCGGCUCAUCACAUCCUGGGGCUGAAGUAGGUCCCAAGGGUAUGGCUGUUCGCCAUUUAAAGUGGUACGCGAGCUGGGUUUAGAACGUCGUGAGACAGUUCGGUCCCUAUCUGCCGUGGGCGCUGGAGAACUGAGGGGGGCUGCUCCUAGUACGAGAGGACCGGAGUGGACGCAUCACUGGUGUUCGGGUUGUCAUGCCAAUGGCACUGCCCGGUAGCUAAAUGCGGAAGAGAUAAGUGCUGAAAGCAUCUAAGCACGAAACUUGC